UACACUCCUACGGGAGGCAGCAGUGGGGAAUAUUGGACAAUGGGCGCAAGCCUGAUCCAGCCAUGCCGCGUGAGUGAUGAAGGCCCUAGGGUUGUAAAGCUCUUUCACCGGUGAAGAUAAUGACGGUAACCGGAGAAGAAGCCCCGGCUAACUUCGUGCCAGCAGCCGCGGUAAUACGAAGGGGGCUAGCGUUGUUCGGAUUUACUGGGCGUAAAGCGCACGUAGGCGGACUAUUAAGUCAGGGAUGAAAUCCCGGGGCUCAACCCCGGAACUGCCUUUGAUACUGGUAGUCUUGAGUUCGAGAGAGGUGAGUGGAAUUCCGAGUGUAGAGGUGAAAUUCGUAGAUAUUCGGAGGAACACCAGUGGCGAAGGCGGCUCACUGGCUCGAUACUGACGCUGAGGUGCGAAAGCGUGGGGAGCAAACAGGAUUAGAUACCCGUGUAGUCCCAUGA
rnacentral:rRNA from 1 species